CACCAGCGUAAGAACAGUCUAAGGAUCCUCCUGAACUACUACCCUUUGCAAUUGGACAUUUUCCACUGUCACACACCAAUUUUUGCCUGUGUACCACGACACUUUUUACGUCAACACCCUUUGCAAUUGGACAUUUCCACUGUCACACAUCAACUUUGCCCGUGUACCACGACACUUUGACGUCGACAACAGCAUAGGUAAUGAAUCCUAUCGAAAUUUUACGUGGCCUCCGUAGCCCUAAGAUAGUUUGGGAUCUCAAUGCCGUUCACGAGCAUCACAUCAGUUACUACGAGAC